AUACUCGCUUUGGCAGCACAUAUACUAAAAUUGGAACGAUACAGAGAUUAGCAUGGACUCUGUGCAAGGAAAACACACAAAUUCAUGAAGCACUCCAUAUUUUU
rnacentral:snRNA from 1 species